GUUAGGAUGGCCGAGCGGUUCAAGGCGCUGCGUUCAGGUCGCAGUCCACUUCUGUGGAGGCGUGGGUUCGAAUCCCACUUCUGACA